rnacentral:rRNA from 1 species
UACGGAGGGUGCAAGCGUUAUCCGGAUUUACUGGGUUUAAAGGGUGUGUAGGCGGUCUUUUAAGUCAGUGGUGAAAUCUCCGGGCUCAACCCGGAAACUGCCAUUGAUACUAUUAGUCUUGAAUUUUGUUGAGGUAGGCGGAAUAAGUCAUGUAGCGGUGAAAUGCAUAGAUAUGACUUAGAACACCAAUUGCGAAGGCAGCUUACUAAGCAAAUAUUGACGCUGAGGCACGAAAGCGUGGGGAUCAAACAGG